GGGAUAACAGUUAGAAAUGACUGCUAAUACCGCAUAAGCGCACAGGACCGCAUGGUCCGGUGUGAAAAACUCCGGUGGUAUGAGAUGGACCCGCGUCUGAUUAGCUGGUUGGCGGGGUAACGGCCCACCAAGGCGACGAUCAGUAGCCGACCUGAGAGGGUGGCCGGCCACAUGGGGACUGAGACACGGCCCAAACUCCUACGGGAGGCAGCAGUGGGGAAUAUUGCACAAUGGGGGAAACCCUGAUGCAGCAACGCCGCGUGAGUGAAGAAGUAUUUCGGUAUGUAAAGCUCUAUCAGCAGGGAAGAAAAAAGACGGUACCUGACUAAGAAGCCCCGGCUAACUACGUGCCAGCAGCCGCGGUAAUACGUAGGGGGCAAGCGUUAUCCGGAUUUACUGGGUGUAAAGGGAGCGUAGACGGCAUAGCAAGUCUGAAGUGAAAGCCCGUGGCUCAACCGCGGAACUGCUUUGGAAACUGUUAAGCUGGAGUACUGGAGAGGCAAGCGGAAUUCCUAGUGUAGCGGUGAAAUGCGUAGAUAUUAGGAGGAACACCAGUGGCGAAGGCGGCUUGCUGGACAGAGACUGACGUUGAGGCUCGAAAGCGUGGGGAGCAAACAGGAUUAGAUACCCUGGUGGUCCACGCGGUAAACGAUGAAUGCUAGGUGUUGGCGGGCAAAGCCCGUCGGUGCCGCCG
rnacentral:rRNA from 1 species